AUGCUAUAUGAGCCCCAGGCAUGCUAUCAGAGAGCUCCUUCUGCCUGGGCUGCUCCUUGGGCCUUGGAGAGAUGAAGUCCCCAUGGUGUGGAGUGGUGCAAAAAGGUAAGAGGGUUGUCGGCCCGGUCAGUUUCCUUCACCAAUGCUAAGGCAAGUCUUUGAAGAGAAACAGCCUGGUUGCUUGUGCUGCCCCCUGUUGAACUAAGCCAGACCAAAAACAGGGCUGC